rnacentral:rRNA from 1 species
UACGUAGGCAGCAAGCGUUGUUCGGAGUUACUGGGCGUAAAGGGUGCGUAGGCGGCUUCUUAAGUCUGGUGUGAAAUCUCCCGGCUCAACUGGGAGGGUGCGCCGGAUACUGAGGGGCUAGAGUGUGGGAGAGGAACGUGGAAUUCCUGGUGUAGCGGUGAAAUGCGUAGAUAUCAGGAGGAACACCGGUGGUGUAAACGGCUUUCUGGACCAUAACUGACGCUGAGGCACGAAAGCGUGGGUAGCAAACAGG